GCACGGAGGCAGUGGCAAUAUCAUAGCCAAUGAGGUUAAUUCAAGGCAUGAUUAUUGCUAAUUGAAAACUUCCCUACUUAGCCUGAGAGGACUCCAGAUACCAAAGUUGAGGUUGCUGAACAGACUGGGGGUGUUGGGGGGCUGUUGCUGUUGUUGGGUUUUUUGGUAUCUUUCUUUGAGA